GCCUUCGUGGUGUACCGGUAGCACACUCGGCGCGUAUUCGAGAGGUCCAGGUUCGAGUCCCAGCAAGGGCA
rnacentral:tRNA from 1 species